AAUUACACUAUAUUAAAUUUAUAUAUUCUAUUUGUGUGUUUUAUACAAUCUUAAACAUGAAAAUGUAUUAAUGUUAUACACAAUUAAAGAUUAACAUGUUUUAUAACAUAGUAAACCAUCUAAAAAUUCCGCCCCGCAUAAUUUCCGAUUAAUCUCCGAUUUUUUUUUUAUGCGCUAGGCCCAACCCGACCGCCCGAGCAGCGACUACCGCGUUCCAGAACAGGGAUAUAUAUUAAUGGAGGCGCUCUGAGCUAAAAUUCUUUUAAUUUGUUCAUGCCCAGAUCUUCGUCUGUUGUCUAACAAGCUAAGGCACAAACUAGGUGGUGUCUCCGGUUCGAGGCCGUGGAUGGUUCGGCGCAGUCAUGUCGAAGGCGGUGAUUCUUUGCGGUUCCAGGUUCUUGAGGAGGGAGGUGGGUUCUUGCUUCCUCAAAAGUCAUCAUAGUGGGAGAUCUUAUUUGUGCUCGCUUCCUGGUAUUCGAGAAGCCCAGAUUUGUGAAGGGAGGUGGUAGAUCUUGGAGGGGAGAAGGUUUUCAAGGCGGAAGCGUUAUAGGGUUGCAUGAACUUCCGGCUGCUCUAGUAAGCUCUCUGUUAGAGGGUGGCGGAGAGGCGUGAACGAUGUCACCGGAGGCAGCUGAGUACGGCGACGGUCUCAGGACCGGAUCUGCAUGGGUCUCGCUUCUUGGGUUCUCCUCUCUCAUCUCCGGUCUCUAUACCCGGUCUCUUUCUAUACCCUGCAUAGUCCUUCCAGUGAGGUGUCUUCUUUAUCUAGGUAGUAGCAGUUCCAGCGGAGGUUGGUUUCGGUUUCUCUACACCAGCGUGGCGCAUCGAGGCAAGAUGAAGUGGUGUUAGGGUUUUCGAAAUCUCUGGGCUAUUUUGGGCUAGUUUUGUUCUUGGGCUUAUUUGGGUUUUAGGGCUUUUAUUUAAUUUCGUUGUAAAAAAAAUCUAAAAAAUAUUAAUGAAAAUCCUUUUUCAGAAAAAAAAAUCAAUUUUUUUUUAUUUAAAACUCAUACGGAGACUUAUACAUAAAAAAUGAUAGCAGUCAUUUUUUGAGCAAAAAAUAAUACCAGUCAUAAGUUUUAUAAAAUAAUAAUUUUUAUUUUUGAAAAAUUGUCGCAAAUACCACAUUCAUAAUACCAAUUUUCAUAUUUACACUAAUCAUUUUUACCCUCACUUUUAAUGAAAGGUAAAAGACAUGUAUACCCCUAUGAUUAAAUAAUCUAGAUUUAGAGUUUAGAGUUGAGAGAUAGGGUAUAGUUUUUGGAAUGUGAAAUUUUGGAUAAUAAAUAUAUAAAUAAAUACUUAAAAAAAUAUAAAAAUUUAAAAGUAGUUUGAAACAUAAUUUUUGAUUUUCAAAAAUAAAUUUUGAAAAGAAAAAAAAUUAGACAAAAACAAAAAUUCAAAAGAAAAUUAUAAAAAAGUUUGAAUUUGAGAAAGUAUAAUUCGAAAACAUAAAAAUUAUUUUUUUUUAUUUUUUUUCUACUUUUUAUUUAUUUAAAUAAUUAUUGAUUAUAUAUAUAGAGAAUAAGGGUAAAAGAAUCUUUUUCAUUUAAUGAAAAAAAAAUAUUUUCGAAAAUGUCCAUUUAGUGGUGGUAAAGAUGAAUAAUAGUACCAUGAAAGUGGUAAACAUGAAAUUCUCUCUUUAUUUUUACUACACUUGCCAUAUAAACUUACAGUUUCUGCCACAUUAUUUUUACUGUAAGUUACAUAAAAUUAUAUAUAAAUCAUAUAUGUUAAAGAUCUGUUGUUAACAAGUAUGCAAACUAAUGAAGAAGAAAUUAACAACAGAUCUUUAUCAUGGUACAAGUAUCAGACGUGGAUCUUCGUCACACGGUUUAUGGUGGUUGUGUUCAGAUGUGAAUUCUUAUAAAGUAUAUAGAAAUUUUGGUUGUAUAGUCAUGAAUGUAAUAUAUAUUUCAUAAUUUGUAAUAGCAAAGUGUUAAAAUUUUUAUUUUAAAGCAUUAUAAUUGGAAGUAUAUUUUCAUCAAUUAAAAAGAGAAAGCAGAAUAGAAGAAGAGAUAAAUCAAAAAUCGUCUUUUUAGCAUCUCCAACCCCUUUAUAUUUUUAACUAUAAAAUAGAGUUUGAAGAAAAAAAAUAUAUCAAUGUUACUCUAUUUUUCACUCUAUAUAGAAGUAUUCUAUUAAUAGAGUAAAUUCAUUUUCUCUAUUAAUAAUGAGUUUACUCUAUAUAAAAAUAAAUUUAUUUAUUUUUGUUUAUCACUCUUACUUGCACUCUAAAUACAGUAAUAGUGGAAAAGAAUUCAACUUUAUUGAACCAUUGAAAAUGGUUUUCUAGAUAAAGCAAACUAAUUAAUGAGAGAGAGAUUUAUCAAUAACAAUUGUCACUAACUAGAGAUAGGUUCUCAUUAAUUGUCAUCUUCUACUAGAGAUUAAUUGUGUUUAUUUGAUCAAUUACAACUUACUAUUUUUACUUUCACGGUAAAUCUUUUAUAUAAAUGAGGAAAUUUAGUUUUAAAAUGUUAUUUAUAUUAAUGUUUUAAAAUUUUAUUUAUAUUAAUGUCAAAUAUGUUUCUAUUAUUUGAAAUGAAAAAGAGUAACCUGACUAUCACAGUAAAAUUAGGAAGAUAGUUUGAAUUACUUUUUUAUUAUGUUUGGCAAACUUUACUUAUGUAUAAGAUUUGAAACAGGGAUUAAAAUUUCAUGUAAGUUAACACAUCAGAACUAAAAAAAUUGUUCAAUAAUGCACUUGAAUUUAUUAUUAUUAUUUUGAGUAAUUUUUUUUUUAAAAUCGAUGAUUGAUAACUGUUUUAAAACUAAAACAGUUUAAGAUUUGUCUAUGCAUUAUUAAAUAGUAAAAAUUAUUAAAUUAUAAAAUAAUAUUAAUAUUAAUUGGAAGUGACGUACUAUUAUUAGUGACCAAUAUUUUAAAUAUAGAAAGAUUGUUUAUCCGUACUUUGAUAUUUUUUAGAAAAAUUAUUUAUUCACCGAUCAAUAAAAGUAUGCGACCUCAUAUUCAGUGUUUGAAAAAAAAGGAAAAAAAUAAUAAAACUUUGCCAAGUCAUAUUAUAUUUUUAAAAAUAAAAAAAUAAAAUAAAAAUAAAUAAAAAAUAGUACAAAUAUUUUUUUUAACAUUGUUAACGCCGUAAGCAAAACACUAAACCUAAAUCCUAUACAUUAAACCCUAAACACUAAACCUUAAAUUCUUGGGUAAAUCCUAAACUCUUGGGUAAGCCCUAAAUUUUUGAGUAAACUCUAAACCUUUGGGUAAACACUAAACCGUUGGAUAAAUCCUAAACUCUAGGGCUUAGGGCUAAGGUUUAGAGUUUUGCUGACGGCUUUUAGGAUUUAGUUUUUAGGAUUUAGUGUAUAAUAUUUAUGAUUUAGGGUUUAGGGUUUAUCCAAAGGGGUAGGAUUUAAUGCUUAGAAUUUAGGGUUUUGUGUUUUGCUGAUAUCGUUAAUAAUAUUAAAUAAACUCAUUUUUUCUGCGGCUAGUACUAUUUUAUUUAUUUAUUUUUACUUUUUAUUUAAAAAAUAUAAUAUAACUUGGCAAAUUCAUGUUAUUUUACGUUUUAAAAAAAUUAAGUAUGAUAUGACAGGCUAUUAUUGGCUGGUGAACCUGCGCUUUCGGGGUAAACUAAAAAAAAAACUCUUUUUAGAAUGUGUAGAUGUUGUUUUUGUAAAUUUGUUCUAAUAUAAUUUUGAUAACAUUAUAUAAUAAAUAAGUCUAUAUCUUAUUUGGUGUUGGACUUCUGUAAAUUGAAACAUAAUUUUGGAUAAACUGUUUGCUAAUUAAAUAAAACGCAUAAUAGUGUGUGAACCAAAAUUUCUUUUGAAAAAAUAAAUUUAUAUAUAUGGAAGGAAAAAACAUUAGAAGCUGCAAUUAGACAUGAACAUCCCUUUUUAGAAUUUUUGGAGAAACAAAGUAUGUUAUGAUUUCUGGGAGAAUUUUAAUUUUAGCUUUUACCCCAAAUUUAAUAUCACUAUUUAAAUUUAUCUUUAAGAGAUAAAUAUUUGCAUAAAUACUUUAAAUUUCUGAAAAACUAAAACUGACAUUAUAAAUUCAUUUAUAAAAUAUUUAUAAAGGUUCAUAAUUCAACCCCAAUCCAUAAAUAAUCUACUAAUACUAAAAGGAGUAUAUCCUUUAUAUUUAUAGACUUACUUUUUAUUUAAAAAAAAAACUAACUGAGAUACUAAGGCAACAUAAAACAAAAAUAGGAAAAACAUAGGAAUAAUUCAUGAAAACUCUAUUCUUUCUCUCUUAGGCUAUGUCAAGUCCAAACGACGGAGAAAAACGACAUGUGUGAUGGCCACAUUGCUGGAAACUAACUCCUAUGUUGUUCCUGGGAGCUAGACUACAGACAUUGGUUUUUGUUGAUAUACUUAUGGCAGAAAAGCUACAGCCGAGACCUUAGGACAUGGUAGGAAGGUCAAAACCAUUUACUUAUCUCAUCAUCACUUUUUUUUCUUCUGACCAGACUUCUUCUUUCUACGGAGAUAUGAAUUGCCUUCUAUGUUGAAGGUUUUUACUUUGAUAGCACUCGCUUGCUUUUCUCCAUAUAACUGAAGAGAAACAAUGUUCUAAACUUUGCACAUUAGCUAAGCUUUUAAAGACCAAUUCUAGGAUCACCGGCUGGAGCUGCAUAAGAUUUUGUUUUUUGAACACCUGAAGACACCAGCUAAGGUAUAUAAAGACUUUUUACUCUACAUAAAUAACCAGAUAAUGUAGAGCACACACGCAUACAAUUAGCGUGAAUUACCUUGCUUGCACGUUCACACCCCAUAUCCGUGAAACGAUUAGUAGCCUAGGAAAGAAAAUAAAAGAGCAUUCGUUAAUCAGUAAGAAGAUCUAUGUCACAUAAAUAGCUUGAUUCAACAUUCAACAGCCGCAAAGUAAACUUACCAAAAGAGCACGUGUGACUUAUUUCUUGUCCUUGCUGUUUUAUUUAAGUCGUGGGUGUAAUGGAAUCUCCAUGAGGCAUUGACACCAGUGCAGAUUUCUGCGUUAAUGUAAUGGAAUGUACCAAAUAGUGGAGAGGCGCAACUGUUGCAUUGACAUUCAAAACACUCUGAAAAAGAGAUGGUACGCUAGAAUAGCAAAUUCCAAUUGAGCUUCCGGUAUGGUUGGCAUUGGCAAAAAGAAAAUGUUAAGUUUUGGAAACAAAACUUAGUCUCAUUUGUAUUGUUUUUUUGGCUUCAAAUCUUAAAUCCAGAAUGAUUAUGAAUCUUAGAGACAAAGAAAAAUAAUGGAGCUUGUUGGAUUAAGAUUUACUGUUAUAUUGUGUUUGGUGAGGAAUCAUACCGUUGAUGGCCCAGUUACAUUGGUCCCUACACAUCUCUUCUAUUCCAUUGUUUGACCUGUCCAAACAUUUUUGAGUUUAUUUUGUCUCAGAAACAUCACAAAAUAAAGAAGUCGCGUGACAAUUAAAAAAAUAAACAGUCUUAAGUUUUGCUUACUUUCAGUUUAGUUCAAGUAAAACUUUUUCGGUUAACGCGCUCUGAUUAUCUGCAUCACCAGGUUUUCCUCCAACCUUCACCUGUGGGAUUUUCUGUACAUAUGAUUUUAGACAAUUAGGUCUAGAAAAGAUGUAAAAGAGCAUAACAAAUACACUCUAAAGUUUAUAUGUGUAGGCCACAACAUUCUUACGUUUCUUCUUCUAGCAAAUUAAAAAAUGUUUACCUCAAAGACUUCUCUGAAUAGCUGCUUUGAGACAUUUGAUCACUCCUGUCUUACUGCCUAGGAUUUGACUGGAGAUACAUCAGUAUGUUUUAUGCUUUAUUCAUGGCACAAGCCCAAGUUAGAUGAUGGUAGAAGAGACAAUACCUUGAUCAAAUCAAGAGAUAUUUCCGUUCUUACAUAUUUGGGCAAAACCCUUCAAGAUCUUAUUGACCUCUGAAACAGUGACGAUUUCAUCAUCUUCUUCCUAUUCGUCCUCAGACCGACACAGUUCGCUCAAGCUAGGGAAGAAGAACCGGCCCAAUUCCAUACGACGCCAUAGACGCCAGCACCCUUCAGAUUUUUUCCCCGACCAAUUCCUCCAGUCUGUUGAUUAGUCUUGUUAAACAUGAUUUCAACUAUCUCUUGUCAAGAAAAAUAUGACUGAAGAGAAAGUUAAGAAGACAAUGAAGAGAUCGGCCGAUUUGAUCGCCAUCAGAGAAGAGAAAGUUAAGGGGACAGUGAAGAGAUUGCCUGAUUUUGCGAGGAUCAGAGUAUCAAAGAAAAGAUUUAUAUAAGGUAAAAAUCAGGGAUUCGGAACAGUUGCAUGGGUCAGAUUGUAGCUUGACCUGUCCAAACAUUUUUGAGUUUAUUUUGUCUCAGAAACAUCACAAAAUAAAGAAGUCGCGUGACAAUUAAAAAAAUAAACAGUCUUAAGUUUUGCUUACUUUCAGUUUAGUUCAAGUAAAACUUUUUCGGUUAACGCGCUCUGAUUAUCUGCAUCACCAGGUUUUCCUCCAACCUUCACCUGUGGGAUUUUCUGUACAUAUGAUUUUAGACAAUUAGGUCCAGAAAAGAUGUAAAAGAGCAUAACAAAUACACUCUAAAGUUUAUAUGUGUAGGCCACAACAUUCUUACGUUUCUUCUUCUAGCAAAUUAAAAAAUGUUUACCUCAAAGACUUCUCUGAAUAGCUGCUUUGAGACAUUUGAUCACUCCUGUCUUACUGCCUAGGAUUUGACUGGAGAUACAUCAGUAUGUUUUAUGCUUUAUUCAUGGCACAAGCCCAAGUUAGAUGAUGGUAGAAGAGACAAUACCUUGAUCAAAUCAAGAGAUAUUUCCGUUCUUACAUAUUUGGGCAAAACCCUUCAAGAUCUUAUUGACCUCUGAAACAGUGACGAUUUCAUCAUCUUCUUCCUAUUCGUCCUCAGACCGACACAGUUCGCUCAAGCUAGGGAAGAAGAACCGGCCCAAUUCCAUACGACGCCAUAGACGCCAGCACCCUUCAGAUUUUUUCCCCGACCAAUUCCUCCAGUCUGUUGAUUAGUCUUGUUAAACAUGAUUUCAACUAUCUCUUGUCAAGAAAAAUAUGACUGAAGAGAAAGUUAAGAAGACAAUGAAGAGAUCGGCCGAUUUGAUCGCCAUCAGAGAAGAGAAAGUUAAGGGGACAGUGAAGAGAUUGCCUGAUUUUGCGAGGAUCAGAGUAUCAAAGAAAAGAUUUAUAUAAGGUAAAAAUCAGGGAUUCGGAACAGUUGCAUGGGUCAGAUUGUAGCUGUAAAGAAGGGGGUUUAAUGAGAAAGAUUGGUGGAGACCGACGUUACAGAAGAGAAUCGGAAAUGGUGAUAAACGUUUGCGUUUCUACGAUGGGUACGAAGUAGGUGAAGUUGAUGAGUCGCUUAGAGCUGAUAAUGUGUACAGAUUAGCCCACACGAAAGUCCGGUAACUUAGAAACUUGACUUGAUUCUUAAUGAAGAUGACGUGACAAAACUGAGUCUUCCUAUUGGUUAAUUUUUUAAACCAACGUGGACACUCUCUAUGCACAGCUUAUUUUUCUUUUAGUAUAGUUUAGAUAUGUAAAAUAUGAAUAGGUACAUAUUAAAAAGAAGCUACGAAAGUAGACGACAGUUGGUGCGUUACGUUAAGGAAAUGUGUACUUAAUUAGAAUUUUAGAAAUAAACUGAAAAAAAUUGUACUAAAAACAAAAUAAAGAAAGCAAUGAGAUGAGGAAUCACACAUGGAUUCCAUUUUGUGACAUUCCACUUUUGGUGUUUUCCACUAAAAGAUUAAUCACUCACGAGAUGAGCUGAUGAAUUUUUCAGCUCACUUGUUAUUUUUAUUUUUUAAGUGCUAGCAAGAAUCAUGAUAAUAAUAAUAAUAAUUCCAUUUUUUAGAUAUAUACACACUAUAUAAUAUAUUUAAACUAGUGACGUCUUGGACAAGUUUUAUCCUCACCCUUAUUUCAAACUUAUAAUGUUUUAUAAUCUUAAUACUUUUCUUUUAUUAUAUAUACUAGGGGCCUUUCCCGGACUACGCCCGGGGUAUUCGUAUAAGUUUUAAUUAAAUUAAAAAAAAUUACAAUAACAUUUGAAAAUAAAUUUUUAUAUAUACUACAAUCGAUUUUAAACUAUUAAAUUGGUAAGAAAUUUAAAUUCGUUUGAAUUUAUUAAUUGCCUUGUGUCUAAAAUAUUUCACAUAAUUUAACUCACAAUUUGUUAUUAAAAGAAAUCAUAUAUAUAAUGAUCAGUAAGAUGGGUCAAAGUUAACUAAACAUUGUUGGACUUUAAAAUACAUUUAUCUUAUUAAUUUAGGUUUUGUAUAAACAAUUGUAAAUUUAAAACUAAUUUUAACUUUAUUUUAACUUUUGAAUUAUUGAGUUGUAAUACCAUAUUGAACAAUUUCAUAACAGAAAAUUAAAUUGAAUAGAAAAAUUGAUAUAAACUAAAGAUAAUGUUGUUCUCCAAAUCGAUUCAUGAAAAUACAUUAUAAAUAAAGAUUAUAACAGACCAAACCAGUUUUAAGACAAUUCUUUAAAUAAACCAUCACCGAAACUUUAUAUUUAAAUCAUAUAAGCCAAUAAUGACUUUAUAAAUUAAGAUAUUCCGGCCUCGUCCCAAAGAGAUUAGUCUUUACUUUUAUGUUGGUUUCUACCUUUGGUUAUUUAUUUUAAAUUUAUAAUCUGGUGUUUUUUAAAAAUUUAUAUAUGGUGAGGAUUUAGUUUAAUAUUCACAACUUUUAAAUUACUUAUGAAGAUUGUUGUUGAAUGAAUAUAAUUUGAAGAAGUGGUCUAAGUCUAAAUCCUUAAACAACUCUCCAUGAUGUGUUUGAGUCUCCAUUUUACACUCUUUUCAUCGUAACUGUUACCAAUGAAAUGUGUUCAAAAUUUCAAUCAUCGUAAUUACUACCAAUUUUCGUGUUUAAUUUUAGACUAACUACAUAUGUUGUUUUGAGCCCAGUUAUUCAUCGUACCAUGUUACAAAAAGAACAUAUGAAUUAUUUGAAAAAUGUAAUCCAUUGGAACAAAUUGACAGUGAUUAGUAUCCAAUAUAUGGUGUAAGAUUAAAUACUUUCAACGGCGGGCAAGUCUCACAUCUUCAAUAUUGGUUUUUUACAGGUACAUAUAUUCAGUUAGUGUUCUUUGAUGCGUUUUUCAAAUGACCACAUGCACUCUUGCCUUGACCUCGAUGUCAUCUUCGCGGGUGUUCAUGGACUACGAUAUCCAGCCCACCAUAGAUUACUUCGCUUGGUAAAUAUUAACGUGUUUUGCUUUUCUCUAUUACUUACUGCAUUGCCCACGUUAUCUCAUUGCAGUGAAUGAUUAGAUUAAUGAUUUCUACUCUGUCGCAGGUUGGGGGCUAACCCCGGUAUUGCUGAGCAGGUUAAUGCAGAGAUAGUAACCAAACGUGAGACAAUGACUAUAGGGGAAAUAUUCUCCUACAUCAAGCAGGAAACCGCAAAGGUAAACUCAAUCUUUAUAUCUUUGACCGUUCCUCCUCAACCGCCGUGGCCGAGACGCAGGGACCUUCUUCUUCUCCACCGGCUCCGACUUGCUCGGAGGAGCUGGUUAUGUUCUCUCCAUGCAUCCCUUACGUCUCGGCUCCGCCAAACAACAUCUCAAAGACGCCGGAUGCUCUAUGCUGCUCUGUUUUCUCCACGUCUGUUCAUUCCACCGCCGGAAAGUGCCUCUGUUAUCUUCUUCGCCAGCCGAUGAUCCUCGGAUUCCCCUUGGAUCGAUCUAGAUUGCUUUCUCUUUCUCAGAUCUGUACCGAAUUCAAGAGUUCCGACGAAUCUUUCGAGUCUCUUUGCUCUCCGUCAGGUUUAGUUUCAAAUCUUCUAAUCCAAAUGGAAUCGAUUGUGUUGAACCUUAGAUGUGUAACUUUAGGGAUCUUGAUCUGUGUGUUGCAGUGUCGCCUGAGCUUCCGCCGCUUCAGAGUAUCCAGUUCACGUCUCCCUUUGACUACGGUAAAUAAAAAAAAUCGAUUUUGAUGGAUUUUUGGUUGAGACUGAGCUUCAUUUGUAUCUCUGCAGGUGAUCGAGACUCUGCCUCUCCUCAAUCGCUAGGCUUACCACCGGAAACCGCUAAGAUUUCACCAACCUCCGAUCAGUUCUCGCCUGAUAUAGAUAACGUCUCACCACAACUCAUCAUAAACGGCUUUUUCCUUCCCAUAAGGUUGAUUGUCUUUCCGCCAUGAAGAUAUUUCAUGUCGACAAUUAUUAAUUUUGGUAAUAAAAUCCCCUGGUUGGCCCUCCUGAUUUUCUGUCCAACCCGACACAAUUGAUUCCAUAAGCCCCUCCUGACCUAUCCACCGCUUAUCAAACCUGAACUGACCUCUUUUUUUCCUUGAUAAUUUAUCUUCCAGAAAAGCGAUCACCGGUCGAUGAUCCGAUCCCACCAUCCUCAAAUAUUCUGUGUAAGAAAAUGGAAAGAGUGUAUGCCAUUCCUCAUUCGCCAAGGCUCUAUCCAGUCGACAUCUAACCGUUACAGCUCCUUUUCCUUUCCCUCUCCGUCCCUGCCAUGACAUUUUAUUACCACGAGCCGGAAAUUCUAAUAGUCCACUAUUCCUUAUCAUAUUGUUGAAAGGGAUAAAGGACGUCGCACACCUUAGAGUUCCCCCAUCUUUUUCGUGAUUCCCGGUAAUUUCGUUUAGAUCUCCUAUAAUAAACCAGGGCUCCGAUCUAGCUAAACCAUAUCGGGUUAACCUUUCCCAUACAUGAUCUCUCAAACUUUGAUCCGGCUCUCCAUAUACAAAAGUAAGGAAUACUUGUUUCCCUUUGGCCAUUGCCUCGACAUCUAUCAUUCUAUUGCUAGAAUAUAAUAUUUUAACUUGGUACUCAUUAUUAUAAAAAAGGGCUAAACCACCACUUCUCCCAAUUGGAUCCACUGUAACCAGACUAUCAUAACCAAAAUGUGAUUGAAACCUUUGUACGAAUCCAAAAUCCUGUUUCGUUUCUGAUAAAAACAUAAAAUCUGGUUUAUGUUUAUGCCAUGUUUCCCGAAGAUAACUUAUUGUCCAAUGACUUCCAAGACCUCUGCAAUUCCAACUUAAUAUUUUCAUAUAUAAACCUGCUUGUAUUGCUCUACCGAGCCGGAAGAUUGGGGUUUAAUGAUACCCAGCAAUCUUAGAAAUAAACUGAAGAAAGUUGUACUAAAAACAAAAUAAAUAAAGCAAUGAGAUGAGGAAUCACACAUGGAUUCCAUUUUGUGGCAUUCCACUUUUGGUGUUUUCCACUAAAAGAUUAAUCACUCACGAGAUUGUUAUUUUUAUUUUUUUAAUUGCUAGCAAGAAUCAUGAUGAUAAUAAUAAUAAUAAUAAUAAUUCCAGUUUUUAGAUAUAUACACACUAUAUAAUAUAUUUAAACUAGUGACGUCUUGGACAAGUUUUAUCCUCACCCUUAUUUCAAACUUAUAUCUAGAUCUCGACCCCGCGACCGCGCAGAUUUUUUGUUUUCAUUUAUUUUUAUAUAAAUAUUUUAUUUUUAAUUCUAAGUUGGUAUAUAUUAUAAUAUAUAUGUGCCUAUCAAUUUUUAAAACAUAAUAAGUUUACGGUAUAUUUUUUCAUUGAAUAGAUUGUUUCAAACUUUCACAUGUAUUUGUAUCUUCUUCUAUAUAUAUAUUUUCGGAUUAUUAUUUCAUUAUUAAAAUCGUAACUAUAUAUAUAAAGAAAUUAGAAAAAUAUUGUUUUAUUUUCAUAUUUAAAGAUAUUAUAACAUUUCACAAAUUUAGAAAGUUUUUUUAAAAUUAAACUUUUUGCUUCAUAGAUUUAUAUUAUCGAGUAAAUAAUUAAACAUUUAGUUUUGUUUAAUUUUUAAAAUAAACUAUAUAGUUUAGAAUUUGUUUUCAUUGGUUUAAGGUAGUAAAUAUUAAUCAUUGUUAGAUAAUAUGUUUUUUGUUAUUUAAAAAAAAAAUCUUUAUAAUUUUAAAAGUUAACAUCGGCAAAUAUUUAACAUACGGAGGUAUAGUAUUACAACAUUAAAUUAUAUCUAUUUAAUUUAUACUAUCUAUAAAUCCAAUGGAUAAUCUAUUGUUUAAAUCUAAUUAUUAAUAACCCAAUAAAAAUUUCUGGUAGGUCCAAAAUUUAAAUGAUAAGAUUAGAGAUUAAAUGUAACAUGAUUUUCUAGGAAUAGGUCCAUUAGGUCCAUUUUUAAAAAAAUCACACAUGAAUCAAGGUUGUGAUUUCUGUUUUAAUAUAUAAGAUGUUUUAUAAUCUUAAUAUUCUUUUAUUGUAUACAUUAUGAAAAGAAAUAUAGUGUUUCUAACUUCAGUCAAACUAAUCUUAUCUAGGCAUGCAUAAGCAUUCAAAUACCUAUUCAGUUUCAGAUCAGAUACUUCGGUUCCAGAUCAUACGAUAUUAGGGACAUAUUCAUUUAGAUAUUUUAGAAUUUGCUUUAGUCCGGUUUCAUCCACAUUUGGAUUAAAUUAAGAUACCUUAAACAUAAGAAUGGUUAAAUUUGAAUAAAUUUUGGUUACAUUUUGACAACUAUAGCUAAUAAUUUUCAGAUAAUUGAACUUUUUGGGUAUUUUGAUUAUUUAUGUCUUAAAAUAAUUGAUAAUUUAAUAUUUAUAAUUAUAAUUUCGGGUACUUAAAUUAUUUUAAAUCUAAUUAAUAUUCUUUGAAAAUAUAAUUUUAUUAACAUACUUUGAACCCCACUUAAUUCCCGGUUUGGAUUAGUUCUUAGGAUAUAUAUAUAUAUAUAUAUAUAUAUGUAUAUAUAUGUUUUGGAUCCGUUCAGGUAUUUUCGGUUUGGAUUUGGUUCAAUACUAGUUUUCAAGCUGGGUUCGGUUUGGAUUUUGGUUUCAUGGAAUUUUUUAUCUUAAAUAUAAACACUAAACAACACAAGUAUAUGUAUUUUACAAGCAUUUACUUUUAAAAUAUUAAUUUAUGAAAAAUAAAUAUUAAAAACUAAUAAAAUAUAUUAUUUGAUUUUAUGAUAGAUUAGAUUAUGGUUGAUGUUUUUUUCUUGUAAAAAUAUUAUGGUUGAUGUUGUUACUAUUAUGUUUCACUGUAGAUGUAGAAAUGUAGCCAUAAACUGUAGUUUGUAGUUUUGUUAUUGUAACUGUAUUUUAUUUUGAUGUAGAACAAUACUACAAUGUGGGUGAUUGGUUGGGUUUUAUCUCUCCACUUUAGUUUUAUUUAUUUUUAAAUUAAUAAAUUUUACCAAUUAUGAUGUGACUUUUUUCAAAGUAAAAGUCUACAUCAAUUUUCUAUUAAUUUUUACUAAUCAUGCUUUAACUAUAUUCUUAAAGCUAUACCAAAAAAUCAAACUUUUUUCUUAUUUAUUUUAGUUAAAAAAACUACAUCUUUCUUUUAUAAGAUGUGGAAUCUAUAAAAUGAAAAAUACUAUCUAUAAUGGUGAUGAUUGGUUCGACUGUGACUUAAAAAAUUUAGCUGCAUAUGUUUAGCUGUUGAUAAAUCGGUUGUAUCUGUAAAGUUGUUACUGUAGACUUUUUCUGCGGAGACUUUUGCCGAGUUGAAUUUGUUGUAGAUAUAAACUAUACGUUGUAGAUAUUUUAAAAUAAAAUAUGUGAAAUAUGUGCUGUAUAUAUAAAAUUAUUGUUUUUAUCAAUUAAAAUAAUUUAUAUUAAUAUUUUGUUUAUAAGUUAUCAAAGUUUAUUAUUAUUUAAAAUGUGAUAUGUAAAUAAUAUUUAUGCUAUUUAAAUAUUUUUAAUAAUUUAAAAACACCCAAAAUUAAAAUUAAAAUAUUUAUAAAAGUUUUUAUUAUGAUUAUAUAAUUUAUUUGAUAUUAUAGAUAGUUUUUUUCAUUUUACAGAUUCUAUAGCCUAUAAAAAGAAGAUGUAGAUUUUUUGCCUAAACUACAUAAGAAUAAAUUUGCUUUAUUUUUUUGUUGUAGCUUUAAAAAUAAAGCAAAAGCAUGAUUGGUAAAAGUUAAUAAAAGCUUUAUGUAGGCUUUAACUUUUAAAAAUAAACCUAUAACAUGACUUGUAAAGUUUAGUGAUUUAAAAAUAAAUAAAGCUAAAAUAGGAAGAUAAACCCCAACCAAUCACCUCCAAUAUCAAAUAAAUUAGAAAAUAAUAUAAAAAACAUCUAUAAAUACUGGGGGAUUUGCCAAAUAUGACUCAAAAUUUGAUUCUAAAUACAAAACUAUACUCAAACUUGAAUCAAAUGCAAAACUAACUUAAAAGCCUUGUGAAAUUACAGCCAGCCCCUUGUGACCAAACAAAAAAACAGAACUCAUUUUUACGAAUAUAGUCUGGAAAAGUCGUCUGAGUGUUCUGAGAUACUGUAAGUCGUCUAAACGACUUCCAAGGAAGUAUUCUGGUGUAGUGAAUCUUAAAAAUAAUUUUUAAAUUUUUAAAUAAAUAUUUUGACAAGUGAAAAAUUAAAAUCAUGUAAUUAUAAACAGUUUUAAGUAAUAUAAAUUAAGAUAUAAUAAAAUUGAAUAGUUUUCAACAUAGAUGAGUGAAAGUAGUUAAUCAUGAUAUUCUUUGGCUUAGGGUUUGAUAACAUACGUUGUAGUAUUGUAUGCAUUCUUAGGGUUAGAUUUUGGAAAGCUUAAAUAUUUUUUUGAAAAAUUAAAAUUUAACCUAUAUGUGUUUAUUUCUGUGUAUAGUAAACACUUUUUAAAUUUAAUUUGAUUUUAUGAAGUGUUUAGUUAGUUAAUUUAGUUUAGAGAUUAUGUUUAGGGUCUAGACGACUAACAGGUAAGUCGUCUGGCGAUUAGAAGACUUCUCUGAAAGUCUUCUAACUCCCGCUAAAAAUAUUUUAGUUUCCCGCUAAAAAUAUUGAAGUCUUCUGGGCGACUUACAAGUAAGUCGUCUAGUAAGUCUUCUAUUGGAAUACUUACUAGAAAGUCUUCUGAAUCAAAAUAUUUAACCUUAUUGAAUUUUUGUCUCCAUAUAUAAAUAAAAUUUACGCAUUCUCACUCCUCCUCUC
rnacentral:lncRNA from 1 species